AGCUUAGAAAAUAAACAAAAUUAGCAUUUGACGUAACUUGGAACAGCAAACCAAAUAAACACCCUAAAAUAGCAAAAAAAAAACAGAAAACAGACCGACACGAAUUAACCAGUUCUUCAUCCGAAUGUAGUCCCAGUUUCUAGCACGGGAAAAGAGUUAAAACACCACAAGAGUACGCGUUCAACCUACACCAAAAUAUAUUUUCCUCUCACUAUAAGAGGGAACCGAAAUAAGGUACCGUUUGGUUCAAAUAUUUGUAACGUAAUGGGUAAAUGAUUACGUUAAAUCAUGUUUGUUUUAGUCCAACCGUAAUCAGAUACCGUACUAAAAUUUGAUACCGGACUAUUCAAACUUGUUACCGCCCGUAAUCAAGUGUAAACCAUUACCAUUACCCUUUACGUUAUAUUUCGUGAACCAAACAGCACCUAAGUUUUGCUCCAUGACAAAGUUUGCAGUCAACUUUGAAAUCAUCUAAUAUAGCUAACCGAUAAAAAUGAUCUAAGCACUCUCCCCUGAAAGUUGUAUUUUGUUACACUACACUACUAAUCAGAAUGAUACAUGAUUUAGUUCACACUUUCCC
rnacentral:lncRNA from 1 species